rnacentral:rRNA from 1 species
UACGUAGGGGGCAAGCGUUGUCCGGAUUUAUUGGGCGUAAAGAGCGUGUAGGCGGCCAUACAGGUCCGUUGUGAAAACUCGAGGCUCAACCUCGAGACGUCGAUGGAAACCGUAUGGCUAGAGUCCGGAAGAGGAGAGUGGAAUUCCUGGUGUAGCGGUGAAAUGCGCGGAUAUCAGGAAGAACACCCGUGGCGAAGGCGGCUCUCUGGGACGGUACUGACGCUGAGACGCGAAAGCGUGGGGAGCGAACAGG